rnacentral:rRNA from 1 species
UACGUAGGGUGCGAGCGUUAAUCGGAAUUACUGGGCGUAAAGUGUGCGCAGGCGGCCGCGCAAGUCGAGUGUGAAAGCCCCGAGCUUAACUUGGGAAUUGCGCUCGAAACUACGUGGCUGGAGUGUGGCAGAGGAAGGUGGAAUUCCACGUGUAGCGGUGAAAUGCGUAGAGAUGUGGAGGAACACCAAUGGCGAAGGCAGCCUUCUGGGCCGAACACUGACGCUCAUGCACGAAAGCGUGGGGAGCAAACAGG